rnacentral:rRNA from 1 species
UACAGAGGUCUCAAGCGUUGUUCGGAUUCAUUGGGCGUAAAGGGUGCGUAGGCGGCGCGGUAAGUCGGGUGUGAAAUCUCGGAGCUUAACUCCGAAACUGCAUUCGAUACUGUCGUGCUUGAGGACUGGAGAGGAGACUGGAAUUUACGGUGUAGCGGUGAAAUGCGUAGAUAUCGUAAGGAAGACCAGUGGCGAAGGCGGGUCUCUGGACA